rnacentral:rRNA from 1 species
AUGGCAAAAUUCUGGUGGUGGAGUUCUGUGGAUCGAUGUUCUCUUCACUGGAUCGCUUGGGACAAGCUUGCUACACCAAAGAUCAAGGGAGGAAUGGGUUUUCGAGACCUACGACAGUUAAACUUAUUGCUUCUUGGGAAGCAUGGCUGGAGGUUUGUAACAAAACCAGACGCUCUCUGUACCAGAGUGAUGAAGGGAAGGUAUUUCCCGGACUGUGAUUUUAUGCAAGCAUCAACUCCCAAAUCUGCAUCAGCCACCUAGAGGGCGAUCAUCGCCGGGCGUGCAACCCUCAGUGCGGGUCUUGUAAAAUGUAUUGGUGAUGGGGCUUCUACCUCGGCACGGGAGGACCGAUGGAUCCCAUCGACUGUUUCUAUGAGGCCCCUGUUCAGGCCACCAUCGACUACGGUCAACAUGGUCAGUGACUUAAUUGACUCGGAUAACUGGACCUAG